GCGGAGACAAACGUUUCCGUUCACUCCUCACACCACACUCCGCCCGGCACUUGUUCGGGCGGUU
rfam:Cyanothece sp. ATCC 51142 circular chromosome, complete sequence.